rnacentral:rRNA from 1 species
AGUCGAGCGAGCAGAACCAGCAGAUUUACUUCGGUAAUGACGCUGGGGACGCGAGCGGCGGAUGGGUGAGUAACACGUGGGGAACCUGCCCCAUAGUCUGGGAUACCACUUGGAAACAGGUGCUAAUACCGGAUAAGAAAGCAGAUCGCAUGAUCAGCUUAUAAAAGACGGCGUAAGCUGUCGCUAUGGGAUGGCCCCGCGGUGCAUUAGCUAGUUGGCAAGGUAACGGCUUACCAAGGCAAUGAUGCAUAGCCGAGUUGAGAGACUGAUCGGCCACAUUGGGACUGAGACACGGCCCAAACUCCUACGGGAGGCAGCAGUAGGGAAUCUUCCACAAUGGACGCAAGUCUGAUGGAGCAACGCCGCGUGAGUGAAGAAGGUUUUCGGAUCGUAAAGCUCUGUUGUUGGUGAAGAAGGAUAGAGGUAGUAACUGGCCUUUAUUUGACGGUAAUCAACCAGAAAGUCACGGCUAACUACGUGCCAGCAGCCGCGGUAAUACGUAGGUGGCAAGCGUUGUCCGGAUUUAUUGGGCGUAAAGCGAGCGCAGGCGGAAGAAUAAGUCUGAUGUGAAAGCCCUCGGCUUAACCGAGGAACUGCAUCGGAAACUGUUUUUCUUGAGUGCAGAAGAGGAGAGUGGAACUCCAUGUGUAGCGGUGGAAUGCGUAGAUAUAUGGAAGAACACCAGUGGCGAAGGCGACUCUCUGGUCUGCAACUGACGCUGAGGCUCGAAAGCAUGGGUAGCGAACAGGAUUAGAUACCCUGGUAGUCCAUGCCGUAAACGAUGAGUGCUAAGUGUUGGGAGGUUUCCGCCUCUCAGUGCUGCAGCUAACGCAUUAAGCACUCCGCCUGGGGAGUACGACCGCAAGGUUGAAACUCAAAGGAAUUGACGGGGGCCCGCACAAGCGGUGGAGCAUGUGGUUUAAUUCGAAGCAACGCGAA